AACGCUAGCUACAGGCUUAACACAUGCAAGUCGCGGGGCAGCAUGAAUUUAGCUUGCUAAAUUUGAUGGCGACCGGCGCACGGGUGAGUAACGCGUAUCCAACCUUCCCUUAUCCACGGGAUAGCCCGUCGAAAGGCGGAUUAAUACCGUAUGAGGUCAUUUGAUGGCAUCUGAUUAUGACGAAAGGUUUGGCGGAUAAGGAUGGGGAUGCGUCCGAUUAGCUUGUUGGCGGGGUAACGGCCCACCAAGGCGACGAUCGGUAGGGGUUCUGAGAGGAAGGUCCCCCACAUUGGAACUGAGACACGGUCCAAACUCCUACGGGAGGCAGCAGUGAGGAAUAUUGGUCAAUGGGCGAGAGCCUGAACCAGCCAAGUCGCGUGAGGGAAGACGGUCCUAUGGAUUGUAAACCUCUUUUGUCAGGGAGCAAAGGGCGUCACGCGUGACGCAAAGGAGAGUACCUGAAGAAAAAGCAUCGGCUAACUCCGUGCCAGCAGCCGCGGUAAUACGGAAGGUCCGGGCGUUAUCCGGAUUUAUUGGGUUUAAAGGGUGCGCAGGCGGCGCGUCAAGUCAGCGGUAAAAUGUCGGGGCUCAACCCCGGCCGGCCGUUGAAACUGGCGUGCUCGAGUUGGAGAGAAGUACGCGGAAUUCGUGGUGUAGCGGUGAAAUGCUUAGAUAUCACGAAGAACUCCGAUUG
rnacentral:rRNA from 1 species